rnacentral:tRNA from 1 species
GGAAGAUUGGCAGAGUGGCCGAUUGCAGCGGGUUGCUAACCCGUAGGGUCUGAAUAAGGCUCCAUAGGUUCAAAUCCUAUAUCUUCCG